rnacentral:lncRNA from 1 species
CAGUGCUGUGAUAAAGUGCUGGAGUAGUAUCUUGGCCUGUGCGUGUCAGAAGCUUGAGCUGCUGCCUGUUUUUUCUUUUAGCAGCUGAAAUUCCUUCAGAGUUUUUGUGGAUUAAUUUCCAAGAUACAGUGUGUUGCAAUUAAGUCGACGUUGGAAGCUGUAAGAUGAAAGAUAAGCGAGUGGGAGGGGAAAGAAAAAUAGAGCAAUAACCAAGACCGCUGCCAAUAAGACCUAAAGAAACAACACCAAACGGCUGGCAAAGUACCCUGUGGCUUCUUUGAUAGUCCCUCAUCACAAGUAAUAAAACACCUCUUGAGUUGUUCUUCACCUACUGGUUGUAAAUCCUAAUGUAAAGCUGCCUGUGUUUCCCAGAGUCCUGGGGACCUCACAAAAGCCUCUGGUCUCCUAGAGUCCAGCCUGCCCAGCACGUGGAGGAGAUGGAGGAGCAGAAAGGAAGGUGACCUAUGUGUUGUUACCUCAACUUUUUGGAACAGCAAACAAAGCCAAGUGUACUCCUUAAAAGAAUUAUGUGAUCCCAGGGCAGGUAAGAGGACAGGAGGCAGUGACACAGGGCAGCCCUUCCUUGUUCUAUGUUGUAUUGAAGUAAAGGGUAAUCAUUAUCCAGAUUUCCUGGAUUAUUUUAUUUUUCCUGAACUGGUUUCAUUGGUACACCAAAGACCACGAUUGAAUGCAUUUCUGGGCAAAAUAUUCUGUCAUCUUUGAUACUGUGUUCUGUUUUCCCUUUCUAGAGAAUUAUAAAACUCUUCUGGUCCUCCCAAUUAGGAGAAAUGUGCAAGUGAUGAACUAUUUUGCCUCAUGUCAGAAUGCCUUUUCCCUAAGUGCUGUUUACUCUCAUGGUUUCUAGCCAUUAGAUUAAAUAAGUUGUGUCUGUU